rnacentral:rRNA from 1 species
AAAAGGGGGGCCUUACCAUGCAAGUCGAGCGGUAGCACAAAGGAGCUUGCUCCUUGGGUGACGAGCGGCGGACGGGUGAGUAAUGUCUGGGAAACUGCCUGAUGGAGGGGGAUAACUACUGGAAACGGUAGCUAAUACCGCAUAACGUCGCAAGACCAAAGAGGGGGACCUUCGGGCCUCUUGCCAUCGGAUGUGCCCAGAUGGGAUUAGCUAGUAGGUGAGGUAAAGGCUCACCUAGGCGACGAUCCCUAGCUGGUCUGAGAGGAUGACCAGCCACACUGGAACUGAGACACGGUCCACACUCCUACGGGAGGCAGCAGUGGGGAAUAUUGCACAAUGGGCGCAAGCCUGAUGCAGCCAUGCCGCGUGUGUGAAGAAGGCCUUCGGGUUGUAAAGCACUUUCAGCGGGGAGGAAGGGAGCAGGCUUAAUACGUCUGUUCAUUGACGUUACCCGCAGAAGAAGCACCGGCUAACUCCGUGCCAGCAUCCGCGGUAAUACGGAGGGUGCAAGCGUUAAUCGGAAUGACUGGGCGUAAAGCGCACGCAGGCGGUCUGUUAAGUUGGAUGUGAAAUCCCCGGGCUUAACCUGGGAACUGCAUUCAAAACUGACAGGCUAGAGUCUCGUAGAGGGGGGUAGAAUUCCAGGUGUAGCGGUGAAAUGCGUAGAGAUCUGGAGGAAUACCGGUGGCGAAGGCUGCCGCCUGGACGAAGACUGACGCUCAGGUGCGAAAGCGUGGGGAGCAAACAGGAUUAGAUACCCUGGUAGUCCACGCUGUAAACGAUGUCGAUUUGGAGGUUGUGGUCUUGAACCGUGGCUUCCGGAGCUAACGCGUUAAAUCGACCGCCUGGGGAGUACGGCCGCAAGGUUAAAACUCAAAUGAAUUGACGGGGGCCCGCACAAGCGGUGGAGCAUGUGGUUUAAUUCGAUGCAACGCGAAGAACCUUACCUACUCUUGACAUCCAGAGAAGACUGCAGAGAUGCGGUUGUGCCUUCGGGAGCUCUGAGACAGGUGCUGCAUGGCUGUCGUCAGCUCGUGUUGUGAAAUGUUGGGUUAAGUCCCGCAACGAGCGCAACCCUUAUCCUUUGUUGCCAGCACUUCGGGUGGGAACUCAAGGGAGACUGCCGGUGAUAAACCGGAGGAAGGUGGGGAUGACGUCAAGUCAUCAUGGCCCUUACAACUAGGGCUACACACGUGCUACAAUGGCGUAUACAAAGAGAAGCGACCUCGCGAGAGCAAGCGGACCUCAUAAAGUACGUCGUAGUCCGGAUUGGAGUCUGCAACUCGACUCCAUGAAGUCGGAAUCGCUAGUAAUCGUAGAUCAGAAUGCUACGGUGAAUACGUUCCCGGGCCUUGUACACACCGCCCGUCACACCAUGGGAGUGGGUUGCAAAAGAAGUAGGUAGCUUAACCUUCGGGAGGGCGCUACCACUUUGGU